rnacentral:piRNA from 1 species
GUAAUAGCAAGUAAGUUGAUG